rnacentral:rRNA from 1 species
UAGGGAAUCUUCGGCAAUGGACGGAAGUCUGACCGAGCAACGCCGCGUGAGUGAAGAAGGUUUUCGGAUCGUAAAGCUCUGUUGUAAGAGAAGAACGAGUGUGAGAGUGGAAAGUUCACACUGUGACGGUAUCUUACCAGAAAGGGACGGCUAACUGCGUGCCGGCAGCCGCGGUAAUACGUAGGUCCCGAGCGUUGUCCGGAUUUAUUGGGCGUAAAGCGAGCGCAGGCGGUUAGAUAAGUCUGAAGUUAAAGGCUGUGGCUUAACCAUAGUACGCUUUGGAAACUGUUUAACUUGAGUGCAAGAGGGGAGAGUGGAAUUCCAUGUGUAGCGGUGAAAUGCGUAGAUAUAUGGAGGAACACCGGUGGCGAAAGCGGCUCUCUGGCUUGUAACUGACGCUGAGGCUCGAAAGCGUGGGGAGCAAACAGGAUUAGAUACCCUGGUAGUCCACGCCGUAAACGAUGAGUGCUAGGUGUUAGACCCUUUCCGGGGUUUAGUGCCGUAGCUAACGCAUUAAGCACUCCGCCUGGGGAGUACGACCGCAAGGUUG